ensembl:lncRNA
AGUUCUAUUUGUAGCUGCACCGUGGCCUCAACCCCUGCGUGUGCUCCUCUCUCCCCAGAUAAAGCAGCCUGUGAUGAAUGGCACAGCGAGAGCAGCGAGGAGCAGCACUGCGAGGAGGCUCUGGAGGACCUGAUCAAACAGCUCUGGAGAGCACUCGAGCAGCCUGUCAGGAAAACGUGGCUGUGCACGAGCUCCAGAGAGUGCUCUGAGGGCUCCCUGGCCUGCCUGCUGCUCCUUGGAGCAAACUGCUCCCUCCCACAGCAGGCUGAAGAUGCCAGAGCGGGAGCCUCAGUGAUGCCCAUCCUCACCGUGUGCCUACAGAGGGGGAGGGAGAAAGAAAAUGAAUCCCCUUGUAUGAGAGGUGAAAUGAUGCUGACAGAAGGAUAAAAUCAACCAAACUCCAAACAGCAAUUCUUGCUGUGAUUUGGAUCUGAGCAAUAAAUAUAUGUUUUAUCUUGCUGGGGCUUGGAUAUAAUUGAAUCGAACUUUGUUGGAAAAUUAGCCCAGACAUGCUGAAAGCUUCACACAAUUCGAAACCAGGCAGUUUUGCUUGGUUCAGGUUUAAUUAUGAAUGGUUCACUCAGCCCUGGUAAUGACUCAUAUUCACUAACUAGCCUGUAUAUGAGAUGUGACAAAAGUGUAGUUCAGAUACACAAAGCAUAAUUAUUUAAUGAUGAAGUAAAGUUGAUUAGGAAGCCUUUAAGCUAUUACACUCUUAGCAGGGUAUUUUGCAGUCACUGAAUAAAUGAACAUAAUUUAAUUCUUAAAAGCUGCAUAGCUCCUGCUGCUUUAGAAAAUGAUAUGUAGCAAACACAAUAGGUUUUUCCCAUUACAGAAUUCUAUAUGCUACAACCAACAGCAUACAGAAUGCAAUGCAAUGCCACUAAGAAUAAGGAAAACUAUUCUUAGUGACUAUCCAGGCUAAAAAUGAUAGAAUUCACAUAUCCACUAACAAUCAUGAACCUGACAAAUCAAGCUUGUAAGCCUGUGGUGUGAUCUGAAAACCUAACAAGCUUCCAAGAAGAAUCUCCAUUUUAAAAAUACACUCUUUCUUCCUGGAUUCUUUUUUUUUUUCCCCCUCAUGAUAUGUGCAAGACUGAACAGCCUGAGAACAGCUGUGCCACUGAAGGGAUAUAUUUAUAUAUUAUGUAGCUGUGUUCCAAUUAUGAAAUUGAUCCAUGGAUAAAAAUCCCUCAAGGGUGGCUAUUAAUGAGAUUGUCUGCUCUGAGUGCAUCCAGUAAUAAGAUUAGGUAUGCAUUUAUCCUGAGUAGAGAUAAACCAAAGACAAGUUCGUGCCAAGAUAAGACAGUUUUGAAAGGCAAUUAAACAUGGGACAUAAUGUGCAUGCAUAUAUCUGUGGGAGGCUGCAGGAUGCAAAGUUGGUUUUCAUCUGCAGAAGUGCUCCUGAAUGUAACAGGUAGGGAGAAAUAGGCUUUUUCACAGGAGUGAGAGUAAAUUCCAUCUCAAAAAUCAAAAUGUUGGAAUCUCUAAUUUACAAACCAGUAUUAUUAAAAAUGCACCCUGGCCUUUUUUGUUUGGUUGUUUGUUUUUUUUUUCUCCACUUAUGAAAGGCUUGUAAACACCCUUGACAAUUAGCAGCUGUUCAGUGAGAUGAGAGUCAAUCAACACUUGGAGUUCAGAGAACAGAGCACCUUAACAGACCCAGGC